CACCUUGGAUGCCUUGGUCCAUGUGAUGUGAAGAACGGAGUAGCCUCCGAUACGGGAUUGCGAAAUGCAGAGACUCAUGAU
rnacentral:rRNA from 16 species